UUGGCAGAAGGGCUCUUCACCGCUGAGACCCCCUUCUGUUCCCGCUCUGUGUCAGCCUCGGAUCCACCCGCCCGUUCGCUCCGCAUCUGCCCUCCGUCCUUCAGCUGGAGUGUCCCGUCUCGCCGGGCCUUGGACCACCACUGGGGGCCCCCGGGCAAUGCUCACAGGGCCAGGAAGAAGUGGAUCCUGUUGUAGAGGUGACCGGGCAGCCCCACGCGGCCGAAGUACUCCACCACCAUGGACAGCAGGGAGACUGGGUCUCAGCCUCGGAGUUUGCUGUUCUUUAAUCUGCAACACAUGGGAGUUGAUAAGUGUGCUACAUGAAGAGACACGAACCUGGUUCUCAAAGUUUUAACAUAGUAUUCCUGGAGCCAAAGCUUGGAUGUGGCCUUGGGCCUCUGCGCACCACAUUCCUUGUCACUUCAUCACACUGUGCAAGGCUGUCCUGCCCCAUCUGAUGGCCAAGCACCCCUUUUGGGUGGUGGGGCGUUCAUACCCACCCCCAAGCUGGGGUGGGGGGUGCUGGGCAUCCUGCCCUGUUUCUCCUGGGUUCUGCCACUUCCUGCAGAUAAUAACCUGGCCUCACCUGCCCCCAGAAGGCUCAUAGGGGGGCUACAGUUGUCGUCCCUUGGAGGUCACCAUUUUCCAGUGGUGACCUGAGAAUAUCAGAUCCUCCUUGAUCUUCACUCCUUACCCUGGACAAUGACAUUUGCGCAGAUGGGAGAAUGGAGGGAUCAUGGAUCAUUUUGCCCUCCCUGACACAGGGAGCAGCCGAAAGCCUGGCUCCCAGCUCUGUGAUGAUGAAAAUGGUCUAGAUCUUUCUAUCCAGCGUGGUGGCUGUUAGGACUUCCCUGGUGGUGUAGCGGAUAGGAAUCUGCCUGCCGAUGCAGGGGACAUGAGUCUGACCCCUGGUCUGGGAGGGCGGAUUCCACAUGCCGUGAGGCAACUAAGCCCAUGUGCUGCAACUACUGAAGCCUGGGCACCGGGCCUGUGCUCUGCAACAAGAGAAGCCCCCGCAGUGAGAAGCCUGCUCACAGAAACUGCAAAAAGCCUGAAUGCAGCAGUGAACACCCAGUGAAGCAAAAAAAAAAAAAAAAAGGUAGUGUUAGCCAUAUGUGGCUACUGAGCAUAUGCAAUGUGGCUGGUGAGAACCAGGAACUGAGUUUCAGAAGUUUAAAUUAAAUA